UGGGGAAUAUUGCACAAUGGGGGAAACCCUGAUGCAGCGACGCCGCGUGGGUGAAGAAGUAUUUCGGUAUGUAAAGCCCUAUCAGCAGGGAAGAAAAAAAUGACGGUACCUGACUAAGAAGCACCGGCUAAAUACGUGCCAGCAGCCGCGGUAAUACGUAUGGUGCAAGCGUUAUCCGGAUUUACUGGGCGUAAAGGGAGCGCAGGCGGCGCGCCAAGUCUGAUGUGAAACCCCGAGGCUCAACUCCGGGCAUGCAUUGGAAACUGGCGGGCUGGAGUGCCGGAGAGGUAAGCGGAAUUCCUAGUGUAGCGGUGAAAUGCGUAGAUAUUAGGAGGAACACCAGUGGCGAAGGCGGCUUACUGGACGGCAACUGACGCUGAGGCUCGAAAGCGUGGGGAGCAAACAGG
rnacentral:rRNA from 1 species